UACGUAGGGUGCAAGCGUUGUCCGGAAUUAUUGGGCGUAAAGAGCCCGUAGGCGGUCUGUCGCGUCGGCUGUGAAAACCCGGAGCUCAACUCCGGGCCUGCAGUCGAUACGGGCAAACUGGAGUGUUGCAGGGGAGACUGGAAUUCCUGGUGUAGCGGUGAAAUGCGCAGAUAUCAGGAGGAACACCGGUGGCGAAGGCGGGUCUCUGGGCAACAACUGACGCUGAGGAGCGAAAGCGUGGGGAGCGAACAGG
rnacentral:rRNA from 1 species